UACGUAGGGUGCAAGCGUUGUCCGGAAUUAUUGGGCGUAAAGAGCUCGUAGGCGGUUUGUCGCGUCUGCUGUGAAAUCCCGAGGCUCAACCUCGGGCUUGCAGUGGGUACGGGCAGACUAGAGUGCGGUAGGGGAGAUUGGAAUUCCUGGUGUAGCGGUGGAAUGCGCAGAUAUCAGGAAGAACACCCGUGGCGAAAGCGGCUCUCUGGAACGGUACUGACGCUGAGACGCGAAAGCGUGGGGAGCGAACAGG
rnacentral:rRNA from 1 species